AUUGAACGCUGGCGGCAGGCCUAACACAUGCAAGUCGAACGGCAGCACAGAAGAGCUUGCUCUUUGGGUGACGAGUGGCGGACGGGUGAGUAACGUCUGGGAAACUGCCCGAUGGAGGGGGAUAACUACUGGAAACGGUAGCUAAUACCGCAUAACGUCGCAAGACCAAAGUGGGGGACCUUCGGGCCUCACACCAUCGGAGGUGCCCAGAUGGGAUUAUCUAGUAGGUGGGGUAAUGGCUCACCUAGGCGACGAUCCCUAGCUGGUAUGAGAGGAUGACCAGCCACACUGGAACUGAGACACGGUCCAGACUCCUACGGGAGGCAGCAGUGGGGAAUAUUGCACAAUGGGCGCAAGCCUGAUGCAGCCAUGCCGCGUGUAUGAAGAAGGCCUUCGGGUUGUAAAGUACUUUCAGCGGGGAGGAAGGCGGUGAAGUUAAUAGCUUCACCGAUUGACGUUACCCGCAGAAGAAGCACCGGCUAACUCCGUGCCAGCCGCCGCCGUAA
rnacentral:rRNA from 1 species